UUUGCUUUGAAUUUUAUAUUUACUAUCUGAUUACAAGUUCUGAACCAAGAAAGCAAACACUAAAUGUUCUUUUCAAGAACUUCAGGAAUGACCCAUGGCGAAGAGGAGGGGGCUUCAGGCAUGGCUGCCGUAAUAAGGCUCCUGGAGGAAUGAAAGAGGCUCCUAUUGAGGACGACGGAUGACACAAAAAGAACCAUGGAAGAGCACAUGGGGCGAAUGACUAGGAGAAUGGAGGCUAUGGAGAGGAGGAUGGAGGGUAUGGAGAGGAAGUCAGAGACAUUGGAGGCUGCUGUGGUCUCGAACCCGCCUCAGCCUCCUCUGCAGGAAGAUGUGCUGUUGGGCCUAUGCAGCACAGUGGAGGAGCUGGAGGAGCUAGACAGGAGUCUGGCUCAACCAGAAAGAAGGAACCAAAUGGUAAUUAAUUGGACAUAAUUAUAUAUGAAAUAAAUUGUCAUUGGUAAUGUAUUGAUUUGGCUAAUGAAA